UUAGUUUUGACUUGAGAUAGUUUAAAACCAACCAAAAUUUUUGGUUUUGCUUAGUUUCAAUCAACUUUUGAAUUUGAGUUGAAUGGCAAUUUCGGCCAAAAUUGUCCAAUCUAUUUCCAAAUAGGAUUUUAUUGCUAUUUGGGGAGUGGUAUGGGAUUUCCUAUUUUACAAAAUCUCAAUGCCUCCACUUGUUUAGUUAUUGGUUAGUGAAAGAUACGAUGGAUCAAGAUUCAUCGUCUCGGUAUAGGAUCCCAUCCCGGUACCAUGCUAGUACAAUGUUAGCAUGCCAGAUACAAAGUCAAUUCAGUGUACCGAAACUCGGUAUACCUCCCGUACCGAGUCUCAUCUCGGUACCAAUAUGGUGGUACAGUGUGCCCGGUAUGAGGUGUACUGAUACGAUGAACCUUGGGACGGAUACUAGCUAUCCUUCUUUUUUGAUUCGUAACUUUAUCCUCGUUUGAAGGAUGGAUCUUCAAAAAUUCCACAAGAUUGCAAUAAUAAUAACGAUUAUGACUAGCACCUAUGCAUGUCUUGCUAGUAUCGAUUUAAUUAUGUCAUAUUUGAAAUCGAUUCACAAUAGAUUGGUGCACUCCUAUCAUAUAUUUACUACAUUCAGUAUCCAUGCAAUUUAAGUUCAACCUAAAGCUAUCCAAGAUACACAUUAUGAUCCUAGGAAAUUUAAUACAACAAUAUGAUGUGAGCUUGAAUUGAUUUCCUUUUCCCCACUUAAUUCAUCUAUUUCUUGACUUUAUUUUAACUUUUUUGAUUAAAACUUCAGACCAGAGCCUUUGAAACCUAAAUUAUACACAAAUCGACCUAAACCAAAAUUAGAACCAAGUUCUAAAAGAAUCUUCAUAUGGGUUAUAGGCAUAAUAUGGCAAACACAAACACAAGCAGCCUCCAGGGGCACCAAUUUUAGAACAAUGGACCCUACCUACAAACUAUGGCAAACUAGGAGAAUAAUAUCAGGUCAAAUGACUUUCUUAAUGAAUUAAAAGUGGUUACUAUGAGAAAGCAAGGACAUGCAUAUUGCAAGAAUUUAAAUGUGAAUUUCAAGACGAUAUCCAUGCUAAUAAAAAGCCAAUGGUGGUUAAUUCUCUACUGAGUUAUCAAUGAGUUAUCCCCUCUGAAUACCUUAACCCUACCCUACUUUGCCUGAAAUAGAGCAACUACCUUCUAAUUAGACUUCCUUGCUGUAAAGAUUUUACUCUAGAAUUACAAAAAGAAAAUAAGAAGCAUUAUGUUUUAUAGAACAAAAUAAAGAUAAAGAAAUUCAUGAAAAUCCAUCGCCCUUCCAUCGCUCUAACAACUAAUAUUAAUUUUUUAUUUAGGGGAGAAUUGUAACACUGCAGUUGAAGCACCGAUUUUAACAAAAUAUGACAAAAAAAAAAACACUUCGGAACUUUUCAAGAUGUUUUUGCAUUAGCAAAUAACUUUCAACUAGGAAGUAGACAAUGUCAAUCAUGAAAUGGACGCAAGAAGACAUCCAGGUUAGGUUGCCGUCACUACCAACAGAAAACUACAGGAAUGUGCCACUGAAAGAAAAUAUUAAGAAACAUAGUGUCAGUCAUAAUAUGACCAUGUGAAGAGCAAAGAAAGUUAAAACCUGUCAACCCUGCGAUGCUCCAGCUCCAGGUCUAGCUUCCUCCAAUCCUUCCCCUGCUCCUCUAACAGAACUUCUCGCGGCCUGGCGUUACCAAAAGGAUUCAUCUUCUGCCGUGCCUUUGGAGCUCCUUCAGCUCCUCCUCCUCCUCCUCCUGCUGCUUGGGAUCCCGGGCUUCCAGGUCUACUCGACUUAGCGCUCGAAGGCCUGCUGGAGUGAGAGCUAGUGGGCCUACUCGUCUUGUUGAGCUCCAUCUCAGAGUCAAACUUCCUCCAAUCCAAUCCCUUCUCUGCCAAAACCUCCUCCCUCGGCUUCGCAACACCAAACGGGCUAGGCCGACUCCUUGCAGGUUCUGCCGACGCCCCUGCCGCUGCUGAAUGAAGCCGCUGACCUACCAUCCCUUCUAGCCUUACCCGAUUCGCCGGGAAGUCUCUCCCUUGGGCUGAUCCAGUACAAGUCUCGGUCUUUCGCGCUCCCCAUUGCGCGGCAGCGGUACUCCAGCUCCUCCCCUGACCCAGCGAUCGGAAUCUGAAGGACCGGAAGAAUCCCUGAAUCCCGAUCCGAAGCUGGGGUACUUUCCUCGAGACCAAUUAUCGACCUCAUCAGCCCUGGACGAGCUGCCACUGCCAAGCGAGCUAUACCGAUCAUGCCGCCCUGAAUCCAUCGAAGCCACCGGGGUGAAUGUCUUCUUGUUAGCGGCCCAGUUGUCCACCUCAUCCGCCCUCGACGGCUGGUCGAGAUCAGACACCCUAGAUGGCGGACCCCUCUGCUGCUCCUCCUCGAAGCCGCCGCCGUAGGUCCUCCUGCCAUCGUCGGACCUCCGUCCGAGGAACCCGCCGGCGCCAUAGCCGGAGGAGCGGAAGCCGCCACCAAGGCGGGACUGCUCGAGCUCCUCAGCGGAGCGCACGCGGGGGCCUGUGGGGAGGCGGAGCAUCUCGUCGUGGGUGAGGCCGCGGGGCUCGAGGGAGGAUGGGUGGCGGCGGCCGCCGCCAGGGCCGACGUAGGCGCCGAUGGUGAGCUCGGAGAGGGAGUGGGGGACGGCCUUCUUCUUCUUGGGCUUGGUGGCGGCGGCCUCCUUGAGGCUAGGGAAGCUCUGGGGAGGCUCGCCAGCGGCGAGGGCAGGGGGGCGGGCGGCGGCCUCGGCCUCCGCCCCCUCGCGCUCCUCGGCCUCGGCGCGCUCGGCAUCAAGGGCCCAGGCGCCGAUUCCUCCCCAGGGUCUGGACAUCGCCUUCUUUCCUUCCCUCGGUAGAGUAUCUGGGAUCAGGUUAGGGUCUGUGGGGAGUUCGAUGGAGAGGAGGACAGAAGCGCGCAAGAGAAAAGAGAAUUGGAAUAGGGAGCAGGAGCCCUGCUAAAAUGCGCGGGGAUUUUUCCCUUGCUCUUUCCCUUUGGUUGCAUCGGCUGGCCGCCACGACGGACGAGGUCGGGGAGCAGAAGUUAACUUUUGUUUGUUUUUUACUAUUAAAUGUUUUGAUUUUAGAAAAAAAAAUAAUGUUUGGCAUCUGUCAAGCAUCUGUGAGAUAAAAAGAAUCAACGGUUAUGAUUGUCCAUCUAUUUUUUGGAAAACCUUACGUUUUAAUUAUUUUUUUAACAUUAAUAUAAUUAUGAUUUAAUAAAGGCAAUCGCAUUUUUGGCAAUUAUUUUAGUUGUUCUUUAACUGAAUGACAAUAUAAGCUAGGAGGGGUCAUAAUUACAUACAAUGAGAAUGGGCCUGAACCAUAUGCAAAUGGAAAGUGUGAUGGACAAAGCAUAUGCUGAGGAUGUCAUUUACCAAGUGUUUAUGUAUUUUAGGAACAUUGAAUUCACUAAAAAAUAUUUAAAGAAUAUAAACAACACUAGCCUGCAUUGCUUUUUUUUUUUUUGCUAAAAAAAAGAAAAGGGGGGAGGAAGGGACAAGCCCACCUCCAUGUAGCAACCCUCACGGACCCCCGCCCCACCAGGAGAGUAUUCGAUGUGGGCAGAAAUGGCUGUGUGUUGGGCACCCCGACCGAUUUUACUCAUACCCUCCCCAACCUUGGGCCUGGCCCAGCUACCCCUCUGGGCUUCGGCUCAAAUCCCACGUGGGAAUACGUCAUACCUGAUACCACUAAAGCUACUAGAGGUCCAAUAAGCAUUCCUAGGCCCUAUGUUCAAGUAGUGGCCGAAGCUACAUUUUAAUCGACGGCGCAGCUACUCGAACUUAGAAUCAUGAGGAUAGAAAAUACGCCUAGUACCACUAAGCUACCACCCUGGUGGCCUAGCCUGCAUUACUUCAUCCUGUUCCUUCCUUCUUUGAAUAAUUUUCUACAUUUCAUUAGAGAGAGAUUAAGUAAAGAGAGCAGAGACAAUUUUAAUGUCUUACAUAACAUAUCAAUUUUGGAAGGCCAGAAAUGAUUGCAUAUUUCAAAAUAUUGUUAGGAGUCCCAGAAUGAUCUUAAUAAGAGCUUGAAGCCAAGCACAUAAAUCCAUAAAUGUUACUACCCCAAAGGAAAUCUUGAUAGCUGGAGAAAACUAUGGCUCCUUGUUUGUAGGCUAUGCAUUCCUUCAAAGAAUUUAUUUCACUUGGAAGCUACCAACCCUAGCGUCUUCGAAGUUAAUUUUAAUGGUAGUGCUCUGAGUGAAGGAAAUUGGGGGGAAAUAGCUUUGUUAUUAGAACUAUAAGUGGAGCUUUGGUUGAUAUUAGAGACACAUAAUCAUGCUUUUUUUGAUGUUCAUGCCACAAAUGAUCAACAUUGGUACAUCAUACAUGUUGGACUUAAUUAGAUCUAAAUUUAUUACUAGCAUCCAAUCCAAUCAAAUGCCAAACAAAAUUUUUGUCAUGUAUCCCAGGCAUGUCCAAGACCUAUACUUAUUAGCCAUCUUCAAAUAAAGCCCAAAACUUUUAUAAACUUUGGAUCAUCUAGUUUUAUGCUAAAAACUAUAUGCAGAAAUUUCUAUAGAAUACGAACCGAUACCAUUUUGGGAGGCCUGUAUAAAAUUAUCUAAAUUGAAUUAGUAUGUAAUCCUUACACUUGAUCAAAGUAGGCAUGUAAUAGGGCAAGAUCUAAUAAGAAGCAGAUUAAAAACAUCUUGUUUGGCAAAAUGCUAUUUAGUCAUAUGUGGCAAUACAACACGGCAUACAUUUAAAGAUAUAUAACAUGCAAAUAAAAAUAUUUUAUGCAUGAAAACUAGUCAAGAGAUAAAUAUCAUGGCCCAUUCAUAUACUAAAAAUUAUUAAAAAAUUGCAAAGCAAAAAUCAUUAUUAAAAAUUUAGAAUAAGCUAUGGAUGCAUAAAUCUGAUUCUAGAACUCAAUCUAAGGCGCUGAUACUACUUUGAUUGAAUUCUGGAGAACCUCAGAGUACUUACAUUGGAAGAUAGAGAUCUUUCAUUCAUGACAUUGCCACAUAUGAAAUAUACAUGACAGGUAAAAUAAAUUAUACCUGCCCAUAAUAUUAAAUCUGAUGCAAAUCUUUGCGUUCCCAGAAGAUGCUAAAGCCGCAAAAAUACAUGAUCAUUAUGAAACUAUUAUCUAUAAUUAUUCAGUCCAUGCCGAUUUUCAGCCACACCGGUAGGCUUUUUUAUUAUUAUUAUUUUUUUAUGUGUGCUAAGACGGAUGGAUUAUACCUGAUGAGUACGGAUACGCUCAAUAAAAUAAAAAACAAAAUACCUCAAAGUGCUAGGGGGCAACUCUCCAUCACCAGUCUACAGGGUACUAUCGAAAUGACUAGCUAUAUAAGUAGCCACCCAAUCCACAAACCCCUUAGCUUCAUGGAACAUAAGCUUGGUCUGAAAGACUUCUCCAUCUCUCAUCAUUGUCUAGAUAUCUCGGAGCAAAGAGUGGGCACAACCAUUGCUUCUCGGGCCCCCCACCGCACCAAGCCACCAAUAGGCUUUGAGUCACUAAAAAUCACAAACUAAGAGGAUGAGUUGCUAGAAUCCUUUUGGCUUCUCUCUUCCUCUCAUUCCUCUAAAAAUAUAUUCUAAUAAUCUAAUAAAUUAUAUUAAAUAACUAAUUUUAAUAAUUAAAUUUUUAUUGUAUACUAAAUAAAAAAUAUUAUUAAUAUUUGUUGUAUAUUAAGUAAUAAAUUUUAAUAAUUACUGAGUAUAGGCUGGGCCGAAACCGGACACUCUAUUUUGGAGACCCAUCGGUCCGAUUGAACCAUGCGAGUCCCUGAUUCGUCCUUAUAACUUCGGCGAGGCUCGUUCUCUUCGUCUGGAAGGAGCGGUCGGCUGAGAGAAACGAAGUGCGAGCGCAGGGCGAUCUAUCGGCAUGAGCGCCAGCACCGCGAGCUACCUCGCCCGGAGGGCGGCGCAGAAGGAGCGCGUGAGGAUCCUCUACCGCCGAGCCCUCAGGGACACCCUCAACUGGGCCGUCCACCGCCACCUCUUCUACCAGGAUGUACGUCCCCUUCUUCUUCCAUCAGAUCAAAUUCUCGUUUUACCCUAUUUUCGCUCUCCCCCUUCUCUAUAUCUGGCUGCUAUUAAAUCCGAUCUAGCUGGCGUCUCAAAUGCUUUGUAGGGUGUGUUGUAUUCCUCCCUCCCCCACUCUCUCUUAAUAUUUCUCUUCUUGCCGGAUUUACGCGUUCUAGUUCAUUUUUGUUUUCUGAUACUUUACCUGUCGACCCCUUAUCUGAUACAAAGUGUCUUUUUUUUCCUUUUAUUUAAGAAAGAGAUGGGAUGAUCUAUUAAUUCGUUUCACAAGAGAAGAGAAGUGUCUAAUGAUGGUUAAAAAGCUCCGGGUGUUCUGUCUCCAAUCCAGUUUUUGUUUAUCCUUUUAAUUGUAGCUCAUGCUAUUCGGUUUUGUUCAAGUUCUUCUGUGGCGUCUGACAUUGUGGUACCUGGUUUAAUCUGUUAAAUUUUUUCAAUUUUUGUGGAAGAGAUCAAACAACUGUUUGUGUCUUUCUGAACAGUUGUUUCCUCCUGUUGAUUUGCUGCCUUCUGAUUUUUUUGUAUUUUAGUCUGUGUAGAACUGGAGAUAUCUUGGCUACCACUGAAUUUUGUGUAAGACCUCAUUCUGUAUUAUUGCUGGCCACAACUGGAAAUAUUGCAAUUGCCCAAUUAAUAUAUUAUAUAUGAGAAACAAUUGUUUGCUUUUGCUCAUGCUGUAUUCCUUUUCAGGCAUCAGACCUAAGAGAAAAAUUUGAGGCCAACAAGCAUGUGGUAUGUUCCUGUUUUCUCUAGUUUUUUUCUCUUUUAUUUAUUAAUUAUAUGGAAUCAGGUUGCCUACUGGUUUCAUUAUUUUGGCAAUCCUGACCAUUACCUCCGUUGGUUGUCAUAUUUGUUUUUAGAACUUGAAAAUGUAAUAUCUUACUCGACUUGUCAAUUAGAAAGAAAAUCCAUGAUGAACAUGCAUUGUCCUUUGCGUUGUAGAAGGGAUAGGCUAUUCCAUGGAUACGUCUUCCUUGGUGUUGGUUGGAGAGGUAAAGUGUGGAAUAAAUGAAUGCAUCGGUUUUCACAAUGAAUUGGAUUUUAUCAUAAUAACAUAAUUUCCCUCUCCUUUUUGUUGUGUUUGAAGAGUUGAUUAAGGCACAAUAGUAAUUGGAAGGGAUAAGUUUCCUCUACUCCGUGGGAUAACUCUAUUCUGCUACAAUGGCAUAAUAGAAUUUAUCCCUUCUCUCUUUUGCUCACUUUUUGCACUUAUCCGAACAGGCCUAUUCCAGGGUGCUUUUGGGGUGUUUGGCUGGAUAUCACCCCUCUUAUCCCCUUUACCAAAUGCAGCCUUAGGGCCCCAUCCUGUUGUAAGGAACAUGUGGGGAGUGAAGCGCAAAAACAAUUGCUUCAAACAUUCUCAAAUUUAUUGCUAAUCGAGUAGCUUUUAGUUUCUAUUUUAGUAUGUAUGGCUUUUAGGUUAGUUGUGAAAGAAAAUAAGAGGGUGAUUUCAAUUCAUGUGAAUAGUACGUGCCUUGCUAGGAGUUCUGGUAGAGGUUCGUAGUUGGUCAAUUAGUAGGAUUCUAGGGGAUUUCAAUAUAUUUCUGUAGGAAUUCUAUUCGACUCAAAUGAGGAAGCUUUAGGGAUCGGUUGAGUCGGUCAAGAUCAUAAGGGCUAGUUGAAAUAUUAUUGCAUAAUGGAAUUUUUAUGAGGGAGUAAAGAAACAUUUUGUCUUAUUCCUCUCACUUAUCACUUAGGCCUUGUUUGGGUGCCCUGGUUAAAGAUUCUAGAGAAUGAAAAUUCUCUAGUAACAGAGUGAUGCAUCACACUAAUAUUCCAUGAAAAUUUUACUUUGGAAUCCCAUAUUCUUAACCAUUUGGGUGAUUUAAAAAAAAAAAUCUUGGUGAUGCUGCUUCAGCUCAAAAUUCUCUCAUUUACCGAUCUUGUUCCUCCAUUCAAGCCAACCCAAAUCAUCAUUCGUCACAAAAAUCACUAGUACUGUCCAUGACCAUCACCAUGGUCAUUACCACCACAAUAGACACCACCAACAUUGCCCAUCAAUAUAAUUAAAACCGCUACCACCAUCGCCAUAAUUGCCACCAUCAAAAUCACUACUUCCAUGAGCACCACCACCGUUGUCAUCACAACCACCACUACUACCGUCACCAAGACCACCAUCACCAUCAUAGCCACCACAACCACCACAAUAUCCCCACAACUACCACAACCAUCACAACUACCACAAUCACCCCCACCACAACCAUCACCAUUGCAACCACAAUCAUUGCAUGACCACCACCACCAUAGCCACCAUGACCACCACCCUCGCUACCACAAUAACCAUGAUCACCACUACCACCAGCACCACUAUUUCUACCAGCAUAACUACCACAAUCACACCCAUCAUCAUGACCUAUAUUGUCACUACGACCACCAAUAUUAUCAAGACCAGCACCACCACCAUUGCGACCACUGCCAAAGAGUGGGAAUUGGGAGGUGUUGCUGCAGGGGGUUAGAUCGUCCAAGAGAUGAGGUGGAGGAGGAAGAUAGAGAUUAGGACGUACAUGGAGCGCUUGGGUGGGGGGCGGGCUGUGGGGGUUGUCGGCCAAUGGUGCAGUGGUAGCCAUUCUCAGUGGUCGGGUUGGGUUGGGUGAAGAGAGAGUUGCUAUCACUGUUGUGUCAUUGGUGGAGCUUAGCAGUCAGUGUGAUGUAGGGCCAAGGCAGAAAAGGGAAGAAGAAAAGAGGGUUGGGGUUGUGGGGGUGGGCUCAUGGAGUGGGAGGAGUCAUGUGGGUUGAUGUCGUGAUGAGGGCAGCCCUGAUGGAAAAAAAUUGCUGGAAAACUUUACGGAAGUAGGAGUGAGGAAGGAAAAUACUCUGGAAUUAGGGUUAUUUCAGGGUAUUUUCUCCUGCCAAAAGUCAUAUUCGGGUGCUACUUUGGAAAUUUUUAUAUUGGGCAAAAACAGUCCAAGAGUAUUUGCCUAAACUCCAGUAAUUUAAGGUACCCAAUCAGGGUCUUAAUCUUCUACUUCAUAUCUUAAAUCUGUUAUUUAUGUCUGUUCCUUUCUCUCUAUUUUAUUAUGUCUUGACAGUUAAUCAUAUUGCUGCAAUUAUUUAGUGAACAGUUCUGUUCAAAUUGCUUAAUACAUUUGUCUAGAAGAUUUGUGGACUAGUCAUAGUCUAAGAUUUUGGACUUUGUAAUUGUUAUUGUUAUUCUUCUUUAUUGCGUAUGCUAUUAACCCUUAAAAGUUAGACCCAAUUGUUUGAGUCUGUGGUCCAAUAAAACCUGCAAUCCUUGCAAGCUAUUUCACUAUUCCCUUAAUUUGUACAUUAGAUUGGCACUAAAUGGGUUUCCAGGGUCUAUUAGACUCCUUAUAACAAUUAGUGCAGGUUUAGAUCAGCAAUCUAUCAACCAAUAAUCCUCGAUUUGCGCUCUAUCAUGUUCCGUGAAACUUGACGGCAAGCAUAAAACUGAGCCUAAACCCCAGGACUUCUGCACUUUUAGGUUCUCCACACAUUGCAGAGUAUCCCUGUUUGGUCCCGCAUCUUAUCCUCACCAGUUUACUGAAUAUGGCCACAAAUAUCCUCGAUGUCUACAUAUGACACUUGAUGAAAGCUCCACAUAUAUCCUCAUGGGUAAUUUGAAUGCAGCUACAUAGUAUGGAGCUAGAGGUCUGCAAAAAUCCUCGUUGAUAAUUUGAAUAAGACCAAAAAUACCACCUAAAUAGAGAUCCAUAUAUAUCUUUCAAGUACGAUGUUGCUUCUAGAUUUGAAAUUCUACAAAUGCCUUAUGGAACAAUUCUAAGAAACGAUAUGGAUGUAGAAGACAUUGUAAUAUGUAUAAAAUUACAAGUAUGCCAUUUUGAAAUAGAAACUGAAAUGCUCAAACUAACAUAAUAUCAAAUUUCCAAAGAAGAAUAACUGAAAAGUGUUGGCAGCUAAUUGCAAAUUUUCAAAAUUCAGAAUGUCUUCAAAAUUGAAUCUGAUCAAGGCAUUCAAAAUUUCUGAAUAUAUCCUGUAAUUUGGAAACUGAGUUAAGUUUUAGGAUUUUAAAAACGACACCUAGAUUGGAUAAAGUUCAAAAAAUACAACACAUCUCAAAAUCGUGGUAAAAACUCUUACAAAGACAACCCUAAAUUUUAGAAAGAAUAUUUGGGAUAGAAUUUGAAAACAACAAAUAAGCUUCAAAGAGGCUCCGACACCCAAAGAAACCAAGCAAACCUUAAAAUUCAAUGACAUACAAGUAGUUACUUAUGAUUUGAUGCUAAAGGAAAGCAAUGAAAUCCUUGCUUCCAUACUCUCUCAAAAGUUUUAUCAUGUUCUUCCUUUUUGCCAUAACUUGCUGCCAUUGGCCUUUAUUACUGGCAUGAAAGGGCAGUGAUCAUUAGGGGUGCACAUGGGUUUGGGUCAUCUUGAAAUUGUAC
rnacentral:lncRNA from 1 species